AGAGUUUGAUCCUGGCUUAGGAUGAACGCUAGCUACAGGCUUAACACAUGCAAGUCGAGGGGUAGCAGGGUAGCAAUACCGCUGACGACCGGCGCACGGGUGAGUAACACGUAUCCAACCUUCCCAUAACUCAGGGAUAGCCUUUCGAAAGAAAGAUUAAUACCUGAUAGUACUUUUUCAAGGCAUCUUGAGAAAGUUAAAGAUUUAUUGGUUAUGGAUGGGGAUGCGUUCCAUUAGAUAGUUGGUGAGGUAACGGCCCACCAAGUCUUCGAUGGAUAGGGGUUCUGAGAGGAAGGUCCCCCACAUUGGUACUGAGACACGGACCAAACUCCUACGGGAGGCAGCAGUGAGGAAUAUUGGUCAAUGGGCGAGAGCCUGAACCAGCCAAGUAGCGUGAAGGAAUGAAGGUCCUAUGGAUUGUAAACUUCUUUUAUAGUAGAAUAAAGUGAUCCACGUGUGGAUUUUUGUAUGUAUACUAUGAAUAAGGAUCGGCUAACUCCGUGCCAGCCGCCGC
rnacentral:rRNA from 1 species